rnacentral:rRNA from 1 species
GGUUAAGCGACUAAGCGUACACGGUGGAUGCCCUGGCAGUCAGAGGCGAUGAAGGACGUGCUAAUCUGCGAUAAGCGUCGGUGAGGUGAUAUGAACCGUUAUAACCGGCGAUUUCCGAAUGGGGAAACCCAGUGUGUUUCGACACACUAUCAUUAACUGAAUCCAUAGGUUAAUGAGGCGAACCGGGGGAACUGAAACAUCUAAGUACCCCGAGGAAAAGAAAUCAACCGAGAUUCCCCCAGUAGCGGCGAGCGAACGGGGAGGAGCCCAGAGCCUGAAUCAGUGUGUGUGUUAGUGGAAGCGUCUGGAAAGGCGUGCGAUACAGGGUGACAGCCCCGUACACAAAAAUGCACAUACUGUGAGCUCGAUGAGUAGGGCGGGACACGUGGUAUCCUGUCUGAAUAUGGGGGGACCAUCCUCCAAGGCUAAAUACUCCUGACUGACCGAUAGUGAACCAGUACCGUGAGGGAAAGGCGAAAAGAACCCCGGCGAGGGGAGUGAAAAAGAACCUGAAACCGUGUACGUACAAGCAGUGGGAGCACGCUUAGGCGUGUGACUGCGUACCUUUUGUAUAAUGGGUCAGCGACUUAUAUUCUGUAGCAAGGUUAACCGAAUAGGGGAGCCGAAGGGAAACCGAGUCUUAACUGGGCGUUAAGUUGCAGGGUAUAGACCCGAAACCCGGUGAUCUAGCCAUGGGCAGGUUGAAGGUUGGGUAACACUAACUGGAGGACCGAACCGACUAAUGUUGAAAAAUUAGCGGAUGACUUGUGGCUGGGGGUGAAAGGCCAAUCAAACCGGGAGAUAGCUGGUUCUCCCCGAAAGCUAUUUAGGUAGCGCCUCGUGAAUUCAUCUCCGGGGGUAGAGCACUGUUUCGGCAAGGGGGUCAUCCCGACUUACCAACCCGAUGCAAACUGCGAAUACCGGAGAAUGUUAUCACGGGAGACACACGGCGGGUGCUAACGUCCGUCGUGAAGAGGGAAACAACCCAGACCGCCAGCUAAGGUCCCAAAGUCAUGGUUAAGUGGGAAACGAUGUGGGAAGGCCCAGACAGCCAGGAUGUUGGCUUAGAAGCAGCCAUCAUUUAAAGAAAGCGUAAUAGCUCACUGGUCGAGUCGGCCUGCGCGGAAGAUGUAACGGGGCUAAACCAUGCACCGAAGCUGCGGCAGCGACGCUUAUGCGUUGUUGGGUAGGGGAGCGUUCUGUAAGCCUGCGAAGGUGUGCUGUGAGGCAUGCUGGAGGUAUCAGAAGUGCGAAUGCUGACAUAAGUAACGAUAAAGCGGGUGAAAAGCCCGCUCGCCGGAAGACCAAGGGUUCCUGUCCAACGUUAAUCGGGGCAGGGUGAGUCGACCCCUAAGGCGAGGCCGAAAGGCGUAGUCGAUGGGAAACAGGUUAAUAUUCCUGUACUUGGUGUUACUGCGAAGGGGGGACGGAGAAGGCUAUGUUGGCCGGGCGACGGUUGUCCCGGUUUAAGCGUGUAGGCUGGUUUUCCAGGCAAAUCCGGAAAAUCAAGGCUGAGGCGUGAUGACGAGGCACUACGGUGCUGAAGCAACAAAUGCCCUGCUUCCAGGAAAAGCCUCUAAGCAUCAGGUAACAUCAAAUCGUACCCCAAACCGACACAGGUGGUCAGGUAGAGAAUACCAAGGCGCUUGAGAGAACUCGGGUGAAGGAACUAGGCAAAAUGGUGCCGUAACUUCGGGAGAAGGCACGCUGAUAUGUAGGUGAAGUCCCUCGCGGAUGGAGCUGAAAUCAGUCGAAGAUACCAGCUGGCUGCAACUGUUUAUUAAAAACACAGCACUGUGCAAACACGAAAGUGGACGUAUACGGUGUGACGCCUGCCCGGUGCCGGAAGGUUAAUUGAUGGGGUUAGCGCAAGCGAAGCUCUUGAUCGAAGCCCCGGUAAACGGCGGCCGUAACUAUAACGGUCCUAAGGUAGCGAAAUUCCUUGUCGGGUAAGUUCCGACCUGCACGAAUGGCGUAAUGAUGGCCAGGCUGUCUCCACCCGAGACUCAGUGAAAUUGAACUCGCUGUGAAGAUGCAGUGUACCCGCGGCAAGACGGAAAGACCCCGUGAACCUUUACUAUAGCUUGACACUGAACAUUGAGCCUUGAUGUGUAGGAUAGGUGGGAGGCUUUGAAGUGUGGACGCCAGUCUGCAUGGAGUCGACCUUGAAAUACCACCCUUUAAUGUUUGAUGUUCUAACGUUGACCCGUGAUCCGGGUUGCGGACAGUGUCUGGUGGGUAGUUUGACUGGGGCGGUCUCCUCCUAAAGAGUAACGGAGGAGCACGAAGGUUGGCUAAUCCUGGUCGGACAUCAGGAGGUUAGUGCAAUGGCAUAAGCCAGCUUGACUGCGAGCGUGACGGCGCGAGCAGGUGCGAAAGCAGGUCAUAGUGAUCCGGUGGUUCUGAAUGGAAGGGCCAUCGCUCAACGGAUAAAAGGUACUCCGGGGAUAACAGGCUGAUACCGCCCAAGAGUUCAUAUCGACGGCGGUGUUUGGCACCUCGAUGUCGGCUCAUCACAUCCUGGGGCUGAAGUAGGUCCCAAGGGUAUGGCUGUUCGCCAUUUAAAGUGGUACGCGAGCUGGGUUUAGAACGUCGUGAGACAGUUCGGUCCCUAUCUGCCGUGGGCGCUGGAGAACUGAGGGGGGCUGCUCCUAGUACGAGAGGACCGGAGUGGACGCAUCACUGGUGUUCGGGUUGUCAUGCCAAUGGCACUGCCCGGUAGCUAAAUGCGGAAGAGAUAAGUGCUGAAAGCAUCUAAGCACGAAACUUGCCCCGAGAUGAGUUCUCCCUGACUCCUUGAGAGUCCUGAAGGAACGUUGAAGACGACGACGUUGAUAGGCCGGGUGUGUAAGCGCAGCGAUGCGUUGAGCUAACCGGUACUAAUGAACCGUGAGGCUUAACCUU